rnacentral:rRNA from 1 species
GACGUAGGGCGCGAGCGUUGUCCGGAUUUAUUGGGCGUAAAGAGCUCGUAGGCGGCUUGUCGCGUCGACCGUGAAAACUUGGGGCUCAACCCCAAGCCUGCGGUCGAUACGGGCAGGCUAGAGUUCGGUAGGGGAGACUGGAAUUCCUGGUGUAGCGGUGAAAUGCGCAGAUAUCAGGAGGAACACCAAUGGCGAAGGCAGAUCUCUGGGCCGUAGCUGACGCUGAGGAGCGAAAGCAUGGGGAGCGAACAGG